rnacentral:rRNA from 1 species
GUGUCAGCAGCCGCGGUAAUACGGAGGGUGCAAGCGUUGUUCGGAAUUACUGGGCGUAAAGGGCGCGUAGGUGGUUGUGUAAGUCGGAUGUGAAAUCCCCAGGCUCAACUUGGGAACUGCAUCCGAUACUGCAUGACUAGAGUACAGCAGAGGGAAACGGAAUUCCUGGUGUAGAGGUGAAAUUCGUAGAUAUCAGGAGGAACACCGGUGGCGAAGGCGGUUUCCUGGGCUGAUACUGACACUGAGGCGCGAAAGCGUGGGUAGCAAACAGGAUUAGAAACCCCCGUAGUCC